GGUGGGAAAUGAGAAUUUCCUUGGUAGAAAAUGCAGAAUUUCCCUGGUGAGAAAUGGAAAUUUUCCAGGUGGGAAAUGGGGAAUUUUCCUGGUGAGAAAUGGGGAAUUUCCUGAUUGUAAAUGGGAAUUUUCCAGGUGUGAAAGGAGGAAUUUUCCAGGUGUGAAAUGGAGAAUUUUCCUGGUGGGAAAUGGGAAUUUCCUUGGUAGAAAAUGCAGAAUUUUCCUGGGAAAUGGGAAUUGUCCCACCCUGGGAUAUCCCCAGCCCUGGCUGGGCCUUUGAGCAAAGGAAAUUUUAGGGAUGGAGCUGCAAACCCAACACGGCACACGAGGCCCCGCUGGGCAGAUCCCUGCUGGUUUCUGUUGUACAGAAGAAUUCCGAUUAUUCCGAUUAUUCCGAUUAUUCCCGUGAUUUUUUUGGUUUGGGGUCGGUUUUUUUUUGGGGUUGGUUUUUUUUGGGGUUUUGGGUUUUUUUGGGGGUUUUUUUUCUUUGUGCAAUAAAGUUUUGUUUUGGCAGAACGGAGCCUGCGCUGUUCCUCGGUGGGAAUUCUGAUGGAAUCACGGCAGCCCAGGGCAGCAUUCCCAGUUUUUCCCAGUGUUUUCCUGGUUUUCCCCAAUCUGGGGCGUUUCCACCCAAAGCAGGCAGUGCUUUUCCAGCGCACAGAACUUCCCAAACUCGGGAAUUUUUGUACAAAAAUUUUUAUUAUUCCCUGGGAUUGGGGAGGGAGCCAGGGAGGGAUUCCAGGGGGGAUCCUGAGGAUCCAGGAGGGAUUCCCGGGAAUUCCAGGGGGGAUUUCAGGAGGGAUUUCAGGAGGGAUUCCCAAAGAUUCCAGCUGGGAUUCAAGGGGAGAUUCCCAAAGAUUCCAGGAGGGAUUCAAGGGGAG
ensembl:lncRNA